rfam:Xenopus laevis strain J chromosome 1L, whole genome shotgun sequence.
CAUUUAUCAGUGAUGCUUGAUAUAAAUGUCUGAACAUAUGACACUUAGUGAUUUCAGUUUUGUAACUGAGAUAAAUG